rnacentral:tRNA from 1 species
AUAGAGAUGGCUCAGUGGUUAAGAGCACUGGCUGUCUGGGUUCAAUUCCCAGUACCUACA